rfam:Capsicum annuum cultivar Zunla-1 chromosome 10, whole genome shotgun sequence
AGGUGAUGCAGGUAAUAUCUGAGAAAAGAAUUGAAUCUCUCCCAUACAUGAUAGAUAUUUUCUUAUGGCUUCUGCUUUGAACUUAAGAUCUGAUUCCUUAACCU